CUAUUACAAUGCUGGACCGUGGCUAUUGGAAUCCUAUCGAUUCCACCAAGUAUUUAUAUUAUAUACUACAUAUUUUUUUUAACAAAAUAUCAUCAUAUUCUUUGGCUCGUUCUUGAUAUAAUUUUCUUGAUAUUUUCCAUAGCCUAUGUAAUUACUUCCCUCUUGAUAGUUGUUGGCGCCUUAACCAAGCGUACCGGAUUGCUAAUUCCUUGGAUGACACUCGUUGUUGUAGGCUUCCUCAUAUAUUUUAACGCUCUCCUCCAAAUUUGGCCGGUUAUUCCAAGUCUAUUAGUAUCCGCACUUUUCCAAUUUAUCUCUGUUACUGUAGUGCUGGAGCUGUACAUCUUACUUAGAAACGAAUCACUCGUUGAAUGACAGCGCACUGUUUGGUAGACCAUCAGAAAUGCCACUGGUGCCUACCAAUUUGAAAAUGCUAACGGAUGUGUUCGGUAUCAGGAGCCGACUUCGACAUGCAUAUGAAGGCCUCACACUUUGCUAAAUCUGUCAAAUUCACUAUGAAACUAUGCCCAGCAUAAAAAACUGUUACGCAAGCUUUAAGAAACUGUUCCCAUACUUCACUAUAUUCAUAGCUUGCAUAUCAAUGACAGUAGGCACCUCCACUGUGGUAAUAUUAGCGUUCUCAAAUGAAAAAGAAUGGAUGCUGAUCGUGGAUAUAUGCUUGGGAAUCGUGGCAAUAAUUUAUACCUUUGCGUCGCUAUUGCUUCUCCUUGGUGUCCUAAUGAAACGAGUCCAUUUAUUCAUCCCCUAUAUAGUUUUCAUAGUUGCGGGUAUCGUCGUAUUCACAUUUGUCAUUGAUAUAUUUAUGCAAUUUAAUACUAGUCUUCUAAUUGCUGCAGUCGUGAACUUUGUAUUCAUAGCGAUUGUGAUCGAGCUAUACAAUAUAAAAACCAGAAUUCCACCACCACCUGUACGGGACAGAAAUCAUACCGAAAGUUUCGCAGCAAGUACAACGGCAGGCGCAGUUUGAGGGGAUAAGCAAUUGUUUUUUAAUCUACAUACAUAUAUGUAAAAAAUGAGCAAGAGUGCUCGUUUGCAUCGAGUGCUUUGGUAGCCUUAAUAAUUAUUGGAAGCAAAUUAUAAAUACAGGAAUGUCGGCUUGGAAAAAUAAAACAAAGCCUUUUGAGUUUCGGGCGGUGUACACCACUUACUAAUUUAUACUUCAAUUAUUUAUUAAACAAGUGUACCAAUGUAUGUAUGUGUAGAAUAAAUUUAUAAAUUUACAAUAAAAACAGUUGUA